rnacentral:rRNA from 1 species
UACGUAGGGUGCUAACGUUGUCCGGAUUUAUUGGGUUUAAAGGGUGCGUAGGUGGGUCUGUAAGUCAGUGGUGAAAUCUUCGAGCUUAACUCGGAAACUGCCAUUGAUACUAUAGGUCUUGAAUUAUCUGGAGGUAAGCGGAAUAUGUCAUGUAGCGGUGAAAUGCUUAGAUAUGACAUAGAACACCAAUUGCGAAGGCAGCUUACUACGGAUCGAUUGACACUGAGGCACGAAAGCGUGGGGAUCAAACAGG